UUUACUGGUGCUGAGAAGUGAGCUGGAUGCAGUGCCCUGUGCCUGUAGUCGCAACUACUUGGGAGGCUGAGGCAGGAGGAU
rnacentral:miRNA from 10 species